AUGUUGGCUGUCGAGUUGGCUGGCAGGACUUGGAUGAGGAGGACAUGGAGGCUGACAAACUUCAAGAAAGAGAAGUGUGAUCAGUGAAGCGCCUCCUCACAUCUGUGACUGUGACCCGGUCUGACCUCUCUUUAUACAGAGGGAUGAGGCCCCCUGCUGGUUCACAGGUCAACUACAAGUGCACAAGUCUGAAUCCCCAUCUUCAUCUUCCGGUAUAAAUGGAGGGUCUUCAGGCGGCUUCCGCGCUGUUCCUCCGUCUGUCCCCGUCUUGAGAUGCAGCUCUCUGACGGUGAGGAUGCGGGUCAGCAUGGCCUCCAUGGUGCUGUCGUCCAGAGGGGUGGAGGAGAACCACAGCGGGCUGUUGGGGACACAGCAGCGCUCAGGGUGAAGGUAGAACAGAAUAGGUUGAGACAGAUCUGUGUCCCUCACUCACCACUUGGAGAGGUAGAACUCGUAGAGUCGGACCGGACAGCGGAGCGGGUUCUCCGUGUUCUCCAUCAUCUCCAGGAUGUCCUCUUUACUGUCCUCCUCCUUACGUCUCUUCGCAGGAACCUCAGGAUCUGAAGAUCGUUAUUUGACCAUCAAAUCGUAUACAGAGAUCGAGUGAUGAAUUUAUGUUGUUAGUUGAUAGUUUUAUAAUUUUGUCUGCAGUGUGUUUUAAAUGUUUAGGUUCAGUCUCAUUAAAUCCAUGUUAGAAAACGAAAUUUAAGUUUCAUGAUCAUUUUGUUGCUUCUCAGUUGACAGUCAGGAACUGUGAAUGACCUUUUGCUUGACUUCCAUAAAAACACAAAAUAU